UCGAGCGAGAACCGGCCCUCGGGCCGGGGAAGGCGGCGAACGGGUGAGUAACACGUGGGUAAUCUGCCCUUGGUACCGGGAUAGCCCGGGGAAACCCGGAUUAAUACCGGAUGGCCCUUUGAGUCCUCGGAUUCAAAGGAAAAGGUAGCUUCGGCCUCCGACCAAGGAUGAGCCCGCGGCGGAUUAGCUUGUUGGUGGGGUAACGGCCUACCAAGGCGACGAUCCGUAGCUGGUCUGAGAGGACGAUCAGCCACACUGGGACUGAGACACGGCCCAGACUCCUACGGGAGGCAGCAGUGGGGAAUCUUGCGCAAUGGGCGAAAGCCUGACGCAGCGACGCCGCGUGAGGGAAGAAGGCCUUCGGGUUGUAAACCUCUUUCAGGAGGGACGAAGCCACUCGGGUUAAUAGCCCAGAGGGUGACGGUACCUCCAGAAGAAGCCCCGGCUAACUACGUGCCAGCAGCCGCGGUAAUACGUAGGGGGCAAGCGUUGUCCGGAUUUAUUGGGCGUAAAGAGCGUGUAGGCGGCCAGAUAGGUCCGUUGUGAAAACUGGAGGCUUAACCUCCAGCUGUCGAUGGAAACCAUCUGGCUAGAGUCCGGAAGAGGAGAGUGGAAUUCCUGGUGUAGCGGUGAAAUGCGCAGAUAUCAGGAAGAACACCCGUGGCGAAGGCGGCUCUCUGGGACGGUACUGACGCUGAGACGCGAAAGCGUGGGGAGCGAACAGGAUUAGAUACCCUGGUAGUCCACGCCGUAAACGAUGGGUGCUAGGUGUGGGCGGUGUCGACUCCGUCCGUGCCGCAGCUAACGCAUUAAG
rnacentral:rRNA from 1 species